rnacentral:rRNA from 1 species
CAGUCGCCACGGGAAUACAGAGGGUGCGAGCGUUAAUCGGAUUUACUGGGCGUAAAGCGUGCGUAGGCGGCUUUUUAAGUCGGAUGUGAAAUCCCUGAGCUUAACUUAGGAAUUGCAUUCGAUACCGGGAAGCUAGAGUAUGGGAGAGGAUGGUAGAAUUCCAGGUGUAGCGGUGAAAUGCGUAGAGAUCUGGAGGAAUACCGAUGGCGAAGGCAGCCAUCUGGCCUAAUACUGACGCUGAGGUACGAAAGCAUGGGGAGCAAACAGGAUUAGAUACCCCGGUAGUCCCUGUCUCUUAUAC